rnacentral:rRNA from 1 species
UGAGUAACACGUAUGCAACCUGCCUGCCACAGCCGGAUAAUCGGGAGAAAUUCCGCCUAAUACGGCAUAAUGCAUCGACGGGACAUCCUGUUGGUGCCAAAGGUUAAUUCCGGUGGCGGAUGGGCAUGCGUCGCAUUAGUUAGUUGGCGGUGUAACGGACCACCAAGACGACGAUGCGUAGGGGUCCUGAGAGGAAGGUCCCCCACACUGGUACUGAGACACGGACCAGACUCCUACGGGAGGCAGCAG